rnacentral:lncRNA from 1 species
UUAUUAUUAUAAGUUUUUAUGACUAGACCAGUGUUGUUGUUGGCAUUCUAAUGAGCAAUAUAAAACUGACUUGCAUCGAGAACACUGUUGCAGCGGGUUCGUUAACAUUUUCAAGCAAUUACUACAAUGGGACGUCGUAUUUUUUUCACCGGCUACUCCCUGUCCCGCGGGGGUAGCCUUCGACCGUUUCCCGAAGGGUUUCUUGAUUGUGACCGACAAUAUCGUGUUAUGUGGUUUAACCCACCACAAUGAAAACAGUGAUUACAUUCUUCCCCAGAUGUUUUACACUUGUCACACUUUGAUCUCUUAGUGGGUGCUACAUUCCUACUUUCGCCUUCGGGUUGUUCUUUAGAAUUUCGCUGGCUAACUGCCUCACGAAGUGUUUUAACUUCAGACUGCACUGCUGAUAACUCAG